GUCUAUAUAAUAGAAGUGAGUUACUCUUAUAUACUAUUACAAAAUAUAAUAUAUAAGGUAAGAUUAAAUAAAAAUGACUUUUAACAACUAUCAAUCUUAUCUUUUAGGAGUUUCAUGCGUUGCUUUGGUCUUAGUCUCAGGACUGGUUACUAGUUUGAAGACUCAAACAGUUGAGCUUCGCAAAGCAUCCUGCUUUAUAGGGGCUCCAGGUAAAGUAUGUUGUUUUGAGGAUUGUUCUCCAAACUGCGGUCAAGAUUGUAUUAAAAAUGGAUUUAUAUUAGGUGGAGUGUGUGUUGAUAUAGCUAUUGGAGAAAAAUGUUGUUGUAUUAAGUAAAUAGACAAAUAUUUAUGCGGUUUUUGAUUGUGUUAUUAAAAUAAGGAAUGAAUAAUAUCUUUGAGUAAUUAAAGAA